rnacentral:tRNA from 1 species
GCGAAAGUGGCGGAAUUGGUAGACGCACUGGAUUUAGGUUCCAGCGCCGCGAGGCGUAAGAGUUCGAGUCUCUCCUUUCGCACCA